GUGUUUGCUUUAGCAGCACAUUUACUAAAAUUGGAAUGAUACAAGGAAGAUGAGCAUGGCUCCUGUGCAAGGAUGGCAUGCAAAUGAGGUCAAUGUUCCAUAUAAAA